GACAGGGUGAGUUUGUGAAGCAGAAAAGGAACAGCGUGAGAAUACUGGUUUCCCUACUUUCUCCUUUGCUCCAGUCAGCUCUCAGCACAUGCUCCACGGAGUCUACACUUACAAAGGUAGGAAAGAGAUGAAAUGGAGGCCCCGCUUUGACUUCAGAAGAGGUGACUCCAGUUUAACAUGUAUAGCUUCUCUGCUUUGAAAUGUUUCUGUGAAGACUUGCUAGCAUUGGGAAAAUUAAUACAGACAAGCUCAUUAACUGAUGGGACCUUUGGAGUAGAAAAGGAUGGAGACAUGGAUUUGUAUUGCCAAUUGUUGUUUAGAGGCUGUGUGAGGAGUAAGAAAACAAUCAGCUCAUCUCUUCAGCUCACAAGGGUUGAUUUGCAGAAAGUAAUGUAUGUUUGAAAAGAGAAUGUAGGGGUCGGCUUCCAGAAGGUCCAGAUCUGCGUCUGAUGAAGAAGAAAGACUGCUAUGGAGAGAAAAUUCACUCAGUCUGGGAACUUCCCACUCAGCCCAAUUGUAACCCAUGUUGUCCCAUAAAAGCCCACAACACACUUUAUUCACG